rnacentral:rRNA from 1 species
GACGAACGCUGGCGGCGUGCUUAACACAUGCAAGUCGAACGGAAAGGCCCUGCUUUUGUGGGGUGCUCGAGUGGCGAACGGGUGAGUAACACGUGAGUAACCUGCCCUUGACUUUGGGAUAACUUCAGGAAACUGGGGCUAAUACCGGAUAGGAGCUCCUGCUGCAUGGUGGGGGUUGGAAAGUUUCGGCGGUUGGGGAUGGACUCGCGGCUUAUCAGCUUGUUUGUGGGGUAGUGGCUUACCAAGGCUUUGACGGGUAGCCGGCCUGAGAGGGUGACCGGCCACAUUGGGACUGAGAUACGGCCCAGACUCCUACGGGAGGCAGCAGUGGGGAAUAUUGCACAAUGGGCGGAAGCCUGAUGCAGCAACGCCGCGUGCGGGAUGACGGCCUUCGGGUUGUAAACCGAUUUCGCCUGUGACGAAGCGUGAGUGACGGUAAUGGGUAAAGAAGCACCGGCUAACUACGUG